UAUUGUGCCCCUACCCUUUUGUUUUUAGCCAAUCCUGAGACAAUGUGUAGCUUGGUGGACCAAUGGUGUGGCUGCGAGGAGGAUUCAGACGUCUGGGGAACGGAAAGAUAAACGGCUGGAGGGAAACACGAAGGAGUAGAAAGCAGGGAGUACAGAAGAGGGUAGAGGAGAGAGCAUGCAACAGGAGGAACAGGCGCCAGCGGUAUGAGAGCUCCUGAGGGAAACAACAGGGAACAACUUUUAGCCCUGCCUGUGGUUCAGGUAAAUGGACUCUGCAGUUGUUUUCCUUGCAUCUCCCCUUGUGUCUAACGUGGGAGGGAUUAAGACACCAGUCAAAGAUGCAAGUGAUGGAAACAAGGAUGCAAUUAAGGGACUUGGGAUGUACCAUCACUCAUGAUGAUUCUGAUUCUGGUGCAGGCAGAUGAUAUUCCCAUUGCUGAUUCCACCUACAGAGCUCUGAUUGGUUCUGUUAUUUUUCCAACUGGAGGAAAACAACAAGCAUCUAUGUGCACAACCCCAGUAAUAUUUGAAUUUAUGAAAAAAAAUCUGUGAUGUGGGCAGCGUCGUCCCUGUAAGGUGACCUUGUCUUAGGUUUUGUACACUUUAUGGGUAUUAAAUAAACAAGCACCAGUGUUUGAAAGCUGCAUGCCAUAAUGUGUUACUAUAGUAAGUUUUCUUGCACCAAAUGUUAACUUGGGGAUAGAGGCUGGUGGAGUAAAACUUCUUUGUACUACUAGAGUACAAUUGUAAAUGAUGAGUGUGUUGACUUAGAUAGGUAAGUUUCUUUAACUUAGCUUAACUUGACUGGCGCAGACAUAUGAGAUUUGCAACAUUUUGGUUCUACCUUAUUCUGUAAGACACAGCACUACGUCCUAUCGCAAAGUUUACAGAUCUGGCUUUGCUACUGCUCUUUAUCGGAAGUUAAUCUG